AUUAAUGAAGAUAUUGAACAAAACCGGCCCCAGGACUGACUCUUGGGGCAUUCCACUUGAUACCAGCUGCCAACUAGACAUGGAGCCAUUGAUUGCUACUCAUAUGACAUUAUAAGCUCAGUUACACUGAUGUGAAUCUACACAAACUCUAUGGAAGUCAGUGUAACUGAGAUCAGAAUCCUGGAUGCUUGUUAUGGGUAGAUUUCUCAACAGCUUGAGUAACUCCACUGCUGCAUGUAUUUCACCUGAUACUUCACCUAUCCUAUUCUAGGCUUCAAGAGUGGAUUCAGAUUCAGUCCUGUAAUUGAAACUGAAUAGGGGCCAAGCCAAUUUUCCAGUGUGAACUUAGAAGAAUCAAGAGGAGAAUAGGAGGAGAAGCUGCAGGGAAAAAACACAGCUGAAAAUCUUCCAAGAGGGAGGGAGGAAAAAAGAGAGGUACCCGAUCAUCUUCACAAGCCCAGAGAAGUACGUUAGAAGGAGGAAAAAUGACCUACAAAAGGCACAGUCUUGGGUAGCCAGAACUGAGCCAUGGAAGACCUGGUGGGAGGCAGACUGCCUGCAGGAGUUGUUGGAAACAAGGACCCCUUGCAGCAUUGCACCCUGACAAAAUAGGGCACUACAGUUUUGUAAACUCUGGGUCCAGAGGAGCAUACUUUAAAGCUGAGCAAUUGGUGGAAAUAGCAGCCAAGAGCAUGAAUACAUGAUGUCCAGCCCGAGUGUCUUAAUUUAUGCUCCAAAAGAAAUCCAAGCCAAUUGACAAGGCAACAAGUGCAAGAAAUUGUAAACUGAGACAGAAAAAUAGAAAAAAUAGAAAAAUCUGAGAAAAAAGUCUCUGAAAUACAUUUACAGCAUGUGUUCUUUUUGUGCACUUCAAUGUGUUUGGACAUUGAAAAUAGACAGUUUCUCUUCUGUUUAUACUCAGAGCAAAAUCCUACAAUGAUAUUAAGGAAAUUGCAUGAGAUGGAGGAUAGGAUUGAAUUGAAAAGUCAGAAAAUUGUUUGGGGUCAAAUUUUGUAUUGAUUUGGAGGGUUUUUUUUUUACUUUAAUAAAAUUGAAGGAAAUUUCUAAAUUAAUUUGUUUUGAAUUGAAAAAUCAGUGUUUUGUCUCAAAUAUUGAAAUGAAUUUUUUUUUAACUGAAACAAUUGGUGAAGUAACAUGAAUUUGCAAAAUGUUUGUCAACAUGAAUCUUUUUGUUGUUGUUUGCCAAGCUUUAGCACCAAAUCUUCACUAGUGAACAUUAUUUUGUUUGCUGAUCUCCGGGUCCUUUUUCAGAACAAUUUUUGGCACAUCUGUAACCAACCCUUGUGUAAUGAUGUCACAAACUGUUACUAUGUGAUUUAUCAAUUUUUGGAAGUUUCCUUUGCAAUAUGAGUGCUGAACUCUUUCAACCAGAAAUAUGGCAGACUUAAACUCAGUUGAAAUUGACAACAUACCUGAAUUUUAGCAAAAAGUGUUUUACUCCUGUACAUGAUUGACUCAAUUUUUAUAAAAGGUUAACCUCA